UGGCUUUACCCGAAGGCGUUUCGCUAACCGCAAGGAGGCAGRCGACCACGGUAGGGUCAGCGACUGGGGUGAAGUCGUAACAAGGUAKCCGUAGGUGAACCUGCAGAAGGAUCA
rnacentral:rRNA from 1 species